GAGUUUGAUCUUGGCUCAGAUUGAACGCUGGCGGCAGGCCUAACACAUGCAAGUCGAGCGGAUGACGGGAGCUUGCUCCUUGAUUCAGCGGCGGACGGGUGAGUAAUGCCUAGGAAUCUGCCUGGUAGUGGGGGACAACGUUUCGAAAGGAACGCUAAUACCGCAUACGUCCUACGGGAGAAAGCAGGGGACCUUCGGGCCUUGCGCUAUCAGAUGAGCCUAGGUCGGAUUAGCUAGUUGGUGGGGUAAUGGCUCACCAAGGCGACGAUCCGUAACUGGUCUGAGAGGAUGAUCAGUCACACUGGAACUGAGACACGGUCCAGACUCCUACGGGAGGCAGCAGUGGGGAAUAAUUGGACAAUGGGCGAAAGCCUGAUCCAGCCAUGCCGCGUGUGUGAAGAAGGUCUUCGGAUUGUAAAGCACUUUAAGUUGGGAGGAAGGGCAGUAAGUUAAUACCUUGCUGUUUUUGACGUUACCGACAGAAUAAAGCACCGGCUAACUCUGUGCCAGCCGCC
rnacentral:rRNA from 1 species